UGCAGUCGAACGAGAAGUACGUAGCAAUACGUAUUGUAAAGUGGCGCACGGGUGAGUAACACGUGGGUAAUCUGCCCUUGAGUUUGGGAUAACCCCGCGAAAGCGGGGCUAAUACCGAAUAAGACCACGGGGACCAAAGUCCCUGAGGUAAAAGGUGGCCUCUAUUUAUAAGCUACCACUUGAGGAUGAGCCCGCGGCCCAUUAGCUAGUUGGCAGGGUAACGGCCUACCAAGGCAAUGAUGGGUAGCUGGUCUGAGAGGACGAUCAGCCACACUGGAACUGAGACACGGUCCAGACUCCUACGGGAGGCAGCAGUGGGGAAUAUUGCGCAAUGGGCGAAAGCCUGACGCAGCAACGCCGCGUGGGGGAUGAAGGUUCUCGGAUUGUAAACCCCUUUCGAUCGGAACGAAUCCCCUCCUGGUAAAUAAUCAGGAGGAUCGACGGUACCGA
rnacentral:rRNA from 1 species